rnacentral:rRNA from 1 species
GUCCACGCCCUAAACCAUGUCAACUGGGUGUUGGGGAAGCGAUUUCUCAGUACCGCAGCUAACGCGUGAAGUUGACCGCCUGGGGAGUACGGCCGCAAGGUUAAAACUCAAAGGAAUUGACGGGGACCCGCACAAGCGGUGGAUGAUGUGGAUUAAUUCGAUGCAACGCGAACAACCUUACCUACCCUUGACAUGUGCCGGAGCCUGCUGAGAGGCGGGUGUGCCCGAAAGGGAACGGCAACACAGGUGCUGCAUGGCUGUCGU